UUUUUUUUUUUUUUUGUUUUUUAGAGAUAGGUAGCACGCUACCCGCUUCGUUUAUUUCAUUUAGAAAUAAACUUAACUGUAAAUGUGAAUCAACUAGGAUUCGAACUUGGGUCUCGGAUGCCAACCACCAAACCCUUUGUCACUUGCUCUAGAGACGGUCGGUAAUUAGCUGCUUCAUCAGUAUUUAUUCCCGCAUAUAUAUAUAUAGUCAUAGGUGUCAAUGGGUUAAUUGAAUUUAUCUUGUUUAUUUGGCUCAUAAAAUUGGUGCAUGCCCAAUAAAUGCUAGGAUUACACUAGGACAAUAUUAUAUAUUAGCAUUAAACUUGCUAAAUCUUAUGUCUCUAUAAUAACUAGGCAACAAUCUUGGGUUUACAUCAAUCAUAGAUCCAAAAGCCAAAGACCUAAUUAAUUUUGGUAUUAAGUAGCAUCAACAUUAUUAAUGAGAUUCACUUCAAACUCCCACAUGGGC
rnacentral:lncRNA from 1 species